UACGUAGGGGGCAAGCGUUGUCCGGAAUCAUUGGGCGUAAAGAGCGUGUAGGCGGCCAGGUAGGUCUGCUGUGAAAACUCGAGGCUCAACCUCGAGACGUCGGCGGAAACCAUCUGGCUAGAGUCCGGAAGAGGAGAGUGGAAUUCCUGGUGUAGCGGUGAAAUGCGCAGAUAUCAGGAAGAACACCCGUGGCGAAGGCGGCUCUCUGGGACGGUACUGACGCUGAGGAGCGAAAGCGUGGGGAGCGAACAGG
rnacentral:rRNA from 1 species